rnacentral:rRNA from 1 species
AACGAACGCUGGCGGCAUGCCUAACACAUGCAAGUCGAACGAGACCUUCGGGUCUAGUGGCGCACGGGUGCGUAACGCGUGGGAACCUGCCCUUAGGUUCGGAAUAACUCCCCGAAAGGGGUGCUAAUACCGGAUAAUGUCUUCGGACCAAAGAUUUAUCGCCUUUGGAUGGGCCCGCGUUGGAUUAGCUAGUUGGUAGGGUAAAAGCCUACCAAGGCGACGAUCCAUAGCUGGUCUGAGAGGAUGAUCAGCCACACUGGGACUGAGACACGGCCCAGACUCCUACGGGAGGCGGCAGUGGGGAAUAUUGGACAAUGGGCGAAAGCCUGAUCCAGCAAUGCCGCGUGAGUGAUGAAGGCCUUAGGGUUGUAAAGCUCUUUUACCCGGGAUGAUAAUGAUAGUACCGGGAGAAUAAGCUCCGGCUAACUCCGU